rnacentral:tRNA from 1 species
GUGGGCGUAGCUCAACUGGCAGAGCACUGGACUGUGGCUCCAGUGGUUGUGGGUUCGAUCCCCAUCGCCCACCCCA